GGACCUUAUGAUUAUGUCAUUUACACGUCAGACGGUUACUGGCAUUAAGGCACAUCCGUUCUUCCUGCUCUGGAUCUUUACAAACAUAAUCGCUGCCUUCACUUAGAAUCUGCUUCAGUAAUUUGAUUCAGCAUCAUUUCAGAAAGUUGUCUAAUUGGUAACCCUAAGGAGAUGAUUUGGACUCACUACCCUGAACCGAUCAUCACAAGAACCAAAUAUAGCAACAUCCUUUGAGAGGGGGAGAAAGAUCCUUUCUACGUAGACCUGGUUGGAGAAUCCCGGAGUACAAUUGUUAACUACCUUAAGAAGAAAUUUGACUUUGGAAAUUAUAGCAUUUUUUUAAAAAACACAAUUUUUCAGAAGCACACUUAGCCAUGUUGAUGUGGAAACAGCAUGUUCUUGCACAUUUUACAUACUUUCGAAUAUUCUUAUUCUGCUUCUUUGAGAGAAAUAGGAAUCAUUCCUGAAAAUGCCACUUGCGCAGGUUAGACGUGAGUGUUAGCUUUCUUCAAUUGCGGUGAUAAACCAUGAAGAAAUGAAUGUGCAAAAUGGGAGUCUCACCAUCUGAACAAGCAUGUCACAGAAAGUGAAAACUUAGUAAAUGGGUGGUACUAUCCAUUUUUCAGGUAGAAUUCAUUUUCAGGGAGGAUUCAUGCUUAUACCACACCCCCAAUGCAAUGCUUUCAUAUUGCCUGAAGUCAGAAACAUGCAUCUACACCAACGUCCGAAACUGGUUAUUAGUCUCUAAGACCUUUCUACUUAAUAACGACCUGCUACCAACCAAAAGUAGAGAACACCUCGAAACACUUCAACGCUAGGGCA